CACAGAUGUAAAAAGCUCGAUAUCUAAAGCAGGGGUAGAAUUUUUUCCCCUGUUUUGAGGCAUUUCGUACUCCUGCAAUAGUGGUGCAAAGAACCGCCAUGUGUGAGAACCAUGGCCAACAUUACCUGGCGACGUUAUAGCUUAGACACGUCCGUCUUGCCCACAGGAAUUAAUUCAUCCACACCUGUAGGCCCCAACAUCUACCACACCAUUCAGCCCUUUCUCCAAGAGCUAGAAUGCCAACAUCCCUCCUCCUUACAAGAAAAAGGUAUGCUGACUUGGACACUUCACAAGAAUGUGGAACAAGAUCCAGCUAAGGCCAAUGUAGUGGUGGACGAACUAGUGAAGGACCUGGAGAGGGU